rnacentral:rRNA from 1 species
GAGUUUGAUCGUGGCUCAGGACGAACGCUGGCGGCGUGCCUAAUACAUGCAAGUCGAGCGAGGGUUUUCGGACCCUAGCGGCGGACGGGUGAGUAACACGUAGGCAACCUACCUCUCAGACCGGGAUAACAUAGGGAAACGUUAUGCUAAUACCGGAUAGGCUUUUGGAUUGCAUGAUCCGAAAGAAAAGAUGGCUUUUGGCUAUCACUGGGAGAUGGGCCUGCGGCGCAUUAGCUAGUUGGUGGGGUAACGGCCUACCAAGGCGACGAUGCGUAGCCGACCUGAGAGGGUGACCGGCCGACACUGGGACGUGAGACACGGCCC